UGAAAGCAGCCACCUUUUAAAAAGCGUUCAAGCUUAACUAUGAUUUUGUUAUAAUCCUUUGACCUCCCACGAACCCUUCAUCUAUACUAAAUAAUCUUAUAUUUUUAUAAGAACUAUAAUGUUAAAACGAGUAACAUGAAUUAGCCUUUCUCCAAAAUGCAAGUAAACGCCAGAUUAGACCUACUACUGGCAUUUAACGUAUAUGAGUAAAAUUUAGUAACCCAUGCAAGAAAACCCUAAAAAAAUCUUACGUUAACCUUACACAAGAGCAUUCCUGGAAUGAUUAAAAGAAAAAGAAGGAACUCGGCAAACCCGAGCCCCGCCUGUUUACCAAAAACAUCGCCUCUUGAUCUUCUAUAAGAGGUCUAGCCUGCCCGGUGACAUAGUUUAACGGCCGCGGUACUCUGACCGUGCGAAGGUAGCAUAAUCACUUGUUCUUUAAAUGGGGACUAGUAUCAACGGCAUCACGAGGGCUUCACUGUCUCCUUUUUCCAAUCAGUGAAACUGAUCUCCCCGUGAAGAAGCGGGGAUCAUUAUAUAAGACGAGAAGACCCCAUGGAGCUUUAAACCCAAUGACAACCCUAACCUGCCCUCCCCCAAAAAGUUUUUCAGCCAUGUCUAUUGGUUUUAGGUUGGGGCGACCGCGGAGUAAAACUUAACCUCCACAACGCAUGGAACUAACACCACAUCUGAGAGCCACCUCUCAAAGAAUCAACAAAUUGACGUAAAAUGAUCCAAUGACUUUGAUCAAUGAACCAAGUUACCCUGGGGAUAACAGCGCAAUCCAUUUUAAGAGCUCCUAUCGACAAGUGGGUUUACGACCUCGAUGUUGGAUCAGGGUGUCCCAGUGGUGCAGCCGCUACUAAUGGUUUGUUUGUUCAACAAUUAAAACCCUACGUGAUCU
rnacentral:rRNA from 1 species